rnacentral:rRNA from 1 species
GUAAAAGUCGUAACAAGGUUUCCGUAGGUGAACCUGCGGAAGGAUCAUUAUCGUACAAAAUGUGUCAGGGCAUGCGAAGGGCUGUCGCCGACUCAAGGUCGUGCACGCCUGGAGCAUGUCCUCUCACAUAAUAAUCCACCUCACCCUUUGUGCACCACCGCGUGGGCACCCUUUGGGAUCAGACCGAUCUCGGAGAGGGCUCACGUUUUCACACAAACCCCCUUCUUAAAAGUGUAGAAUGUCCUCAUUUAUGUGAUCAAUACAACUUUCAACAACGGAUCUCUUGGCUCUCGCAUCGAUGAAGAACGCAGCGAAAUGCGAUACGUAAUGUGAAUUGCAGAAUUCAGUGAAUCAUCGAAUCUUUGAACGCACCUUGCGCCCCUUGGUAUUCCGAGGGGCACACCCGUUUGAGUGUCGUGAAAAUCUCAACCUCUUUGAUUUCUUCUGGAGAUGAAAGGAGGCUUGGAUCUUGGAGGCCUUUGCUGGCAUCUUCUCUUUGGAAGUCCAGCUCCUCUAAAAUGAAUUAGCGGGGUCCUCUUUGCCAACCCUUGACGCGUGAUAAGAUGUUUCCGUGUCUUGGCUUCUGGCUCUGUCACUUUUGGGACCUGCUUCUAACCGUCUUGACCCCCACAUCAAGACAAUGUUUGAGCUCGUCUCCCUUCUCGGGAAACGUCCUCGACCCCACGAACCCUUGGCCUCAAAUCGGGUGAGACUACCCGCUGAACUUAAG